AUUGCUUAUCAGUCUCUUCACUAAAAUCAAGUGUAGUAUAUGUUCUUAUCAGUGUAAUCAUACGCCCCUAUCUGGGGGCCAUAUAUUACGUUGUUGUUGUUUUUUAACAGGAAGAUAAAAGUAGAUCUUGUUCUGUCCACUCCACGCAUUGCCCUGGUAUUGCAGUACCUCCAAGACCGGUGCACCUACA